UAUCUACUAAAUUCCCUGUCUGUGCUGGCCCACAGGAAAAAGAAAAGCACAUAAGGCUCCCAAUCCCUAACUUAGAAAUUCCCCAAUUCCCAGUCUUCCUCCUCCCGCCUCCUCGCCAUUGCCGGCCGCCGCCCUCCUCUGCAACCUCCUCGUUCCAGCGCCCCUAGCCUCCCAUCUUCUCCGACCUCCACCGCCGCAUGCAGCCAUAAACGUGUGCGGCCGCCGCCCAGCUCCCCCUCCAACAUCCAGCACUGCCUUCCGCCACUCCCAAAUCUUCAGACAUCCACCACCGCCUGCUCCUAGAUUCAUCCGCGAGCGCAGCCCACUCUCAUCUCCAGGGAUGAACACCGCUGUCGCCUCCCUACUCCCUUCUCUUAACCCCACCGCAGUCGCCAGACCCCACCUCCAUCCAAGAACGCCACCCCACUCCAUUCUCCUCCCACCACCACCUCUGUUCACGGCCACAACUCUGCUCGAUUUUCCUACCUGAAAGCUGCUGCUCCCUUGAGCAACCUGAAAGCUAUUUCUUGCCCCGUCAGUAGAUCUUGACAGCUACCACGACUCCUCUUCCUUCUAUCAGCGGAUUCGUUCUUGUGAAAGGAAGGAAUUAUAUUGCGCAAUUGCAUUCAAGCGCAAGGCACAACCAAUAAGAGUGGCUGUAGUGGUGCAAUCAGCAGCGAGAAAACACAAAAAUGUCUUGAUCCAUACUGCAAUGGUCUUAAGCAAGCACAUCCAAAGGAUUAGCAAGACAUUGAUUUGGGAUCCAUACUGCAAUGGCCGCCUAUCGAUUGCUACUGGUGCCGUCAAGAAAGCCAACAUUAUCUAUGCUGCAAGGCAACAAAUCUGAAGCCCUCAAGUUCUGUUGCUUACCGUAAUGUCAUCCAAGAGAAUAACAGUUACGUCAUACAAAUGACAUUCUAACAAAGAAAACAGAAAUGCAUGACCAAAUGUUCAGGAUGCUUGUUGCUGAGAUGGGAAGAGACCUGCUAGAAUGGUUGCAGCAAGGUCUAGCAAGGUCAAAACCAAGUUCUUAGCCAGGUCAGAAUACAUACCAACACAUAAAUGCUUUUCCAUGUUUGAACACUAAGAAACUAUAGAUUGCGGAAACACAAUAUUUGUCAUUUAAACACCUACUUGUGCUAGAGAACUUAUUGCUUAGGUGGCCUACUAGAUGUGUGUACAACCUGAUAGCUAUUUCAGUUUUGCUCACUAGUGCAUGAGCUGUACAUUAAGACCAUACUUAAUUCAUUGCAUGAUGCACAUGAGUUUGUAGAGGAAGACAUGCUUGGAGGAUACUGCUAUGGACGACCUUGUUGGCCAUGGCAACACUGGAGGUAGCAACGAUUGUGAGAACAUUGGUCGUGAUAGCUGCUUCCGGAGGAGGAUCUCAGUAGUGUACUUUCACUUCAACUACUUCUUCACAUUCUUGUGGUAUGUUAGAUCUUUUGUGGUGCUACUAUUUCUGUGACAAACUUAAUUAGGUUAAGUGAUGGAUGAGAAAUGGUGGAAGUUAUGUAUGUAGGUGAUGCUCCUGAUCGUAACCUGUAUGACUUUGAAGUUUAUGUAUUAUUUUGUUACAUUAAUUGCACUGUCAUGUGCAAUGUGUUGGAUGCAAACUAGAGUGGUGGUGGCAAUGUCUAUGUGCAACUGUUAUUACUUGCUUUUGGGCAAGUCUGUGUACAUGUAAAUCACCAACUUUUAGUGUAUUGUUACAUUGUUUUUUUAGACUCAGUUCUGGAUUUGUGUACUGGAAUAUGAUGUGCAUCGUU